rnacentral:rRNA from 1 species
GAUGAACGCUGGCGGCGUGCUUAACACAUGCAAGUCGAACGGAAAGGCCCAAGCUUGCUUGGGUACUCGAGUGGCGAACGGGUGAGUAACACGUGGGUGAUCUGCCCUGCACUUCGGGAUAAGCCUGGGAAACUGGGUCUAAUACUGGAUAGGACCACUUCUUGGAUGUUGUGGUGGACAGUUUUUUCGGUGUGGGAUGAGCUCGCGGCCUAUCAGCUUGUUGGUGGGGUAAUGGCCUACCAAGGCGUCGACGGGUAGCCGGCCUGAGAGGGUGUACGGCCACAUUGGGACUGAGAUACGGCCCAGACUCCUACGGGAGGCAGCAGUGGGGAAUAUUGCACAAUGGGCGCAAGCCUGAUGCAGCGACGCCGCGUGGGGGAUGACGGCCUUCGGGUUGUAAACUCCUUUCGCUAGGGACGAAGCGUUUUGUGACGGUACCUGGAGAAGAAGCACCGGCUAACUACGUG